UGAGCAGGGAGCCCAAUGUGGGGCUCAAUCCCAGAACCCUGGGAUCAUGACCUGAGUCAAAGGCAGAUGCUUAACCUACUGAGCCUCCCCGUGGCGCCCCUGGUUUCUGAACCUUAUAUAUAUACA